UUUAAAUCUAUUUGCGAUUAAUUAGAAGGUACGAAAAUUCGAAUAUUUAGAAUAAAUGUUUCGAAAGUAUGUCGACGUCUGCACACACCGGGAUCUAAACGCACAAUGACCAAUAGUCAAUACACACAAGAACGACUCGAACGGAUAUUGUUUAUUUUUCAGCUGUUUUCUUGAUUAAACCUCGCUCGUUAUAACGCGCGUUACACGUGAGUUAGCGACGCGCGAGGGAAUUCGAUGGUGGUGGUGGUGUAGAAGUUAGGUUAGUAUUAUACAUAGACAUCUAUGGUAUAAUUACAGGCUCUCUAAUUUUUUAUUUUUUCGCCAGUCCAGAGCUAUCAAUAUAGACACAACCAGACAACCAACUUUGAAGGUACUAAAAUUUUAGACAUAUUACAAACCCAUGAGAGUGAUGCCCCACAUUUGAGGAUGUUACUUUUCACAAGUAUAGGAACCAAUAUUUAGUAGGUAUGAAUAAAUAUAUAAAUAUAAUAUAAUAUAAAUAUACAUAAAAAUAAAUUUAGAUUUACCUUAUCAAUUUAAUAGAUGUUCGUUUGUCGUAUCGGUAUAUACAGAUGUAUUAUGUAUUUAUAAUAUAGUGUAGGUAAACCUAAUAAGUAUAUAAAAUAAAUUGCCGCAGUUUGUAGAAUGUAUCUUAUCGGUUUUGCCACACUUUACAUGUCGACUUUUAGAAAAAGGUAGCAGAUCCUAAACAGGUAUCCUUGAUAUUAUGUGACACACUUAGAAAAAAAAUAUUAGCAAAUCACUAUUUACUUAAAACUAAUUUUGAUUGGCAUGAACUAUUGUUCAUCAUGGUGUUCUCGGUUAUAUAAAUUACCAAUAAACUAGUGAGCAGCUCCGACUAUUGCUUAUUGGUUUGGCCGGUGUAAACCAACAAUUUUUUAUGAACCCACAUUACACAUAGCCCCUAACACCGUAUAAAAUUUGUCCGUAGGUACGACGAAAAGUGGGAUGCUAGACGGGUUCUUUGAAGUGACCAGACCACGGGUGUAGUAGGUACAACGUCACGACGGGAAAUGGAAAACUCCUACAAAAGUUAGCAAUCUUCUACAUUUACAUAGUGUUAACUUCUACAAAAGAUAGAUUUUUUUAAUUUAGUAAAAUUAGUAAAUAGUCGGGAAUAAUAAAUUUAUUCAAUUUGUUCUGCAAUUAUUGGUAUGGAUGCUAUAAGCCUUUUAUUUCUGAGUGGCGGAAAAAAGAGGAAGAUAUUGUUAUAUUUCCAUAUAUUCCAUGUACGUAUCGAAAUGUUCGAGAAUUUCCGAUACGAUGCGAUACGAUAAGAUUAUAUUAAUAUGUUUACUAAAUUGUACUUUUGUUAUUAUUUUAAAUGAUGAUUUUAAUAUAUUAUCUUUAAAAUAAUGAAAACAUAUAAUAUAUACAAACUAAAAGGACCUACCGUAGUAGGUAUGUAAGAAAUGUUGCAAUAUGAAAUAAGCCAUUACCUAACCCAAACAUAAAAAUAUAGAAAGGUCUGGGUAGGAGAUUACACCAUCUAUUUUGGGCAGGUUAAAAGGGACUAUGUAGGAGUUUACACUAUGUUUUAAGUUCAGAUAAAAAUAUAAUUUUUGUACGAAUUUACAUGUAUUAUAUACAAAUUAAGCGUACAACGGGUUUGCAAGCAACGCACUUUAAUGCGGCUGUGUAGUUACACAACCGAUUUUGAUAAGAUUAUGCUCAUGUGUGUGAUUUGGUCCAACUUAAAUAUAGGAUAGUUUUCAUCCCGAUUAAGUAACCCAUUGUUUCUUAAAAUACGGUUUUAAAGUAUUUUUAGUACAAAAAUCGAAUUAUUUUUGUUAAUUUAUGAUACGUUUUCUUGGUAACAAAGAUGAAGAAAAUAAACUGUAAUAAUAUGUAUAUAAAGACGGACAUACUUUUCCCGUAGGUGAGAAGUUGGGAAGGUACAGGGGAAAUUUAUUAUGUAUCUUGUACCCAAAUAUUGACCAUUACUAAAGUACUCAAAUAGUACAGUAAAAAAUACUAUUUCAUUAAAUUUAGGGGCUUCAAUAUAUUUUCAUAUCUUAUUUAUUUAUAAAAAUCAGACACGCAGAAACGCAUGACCAGUACAGUUAGUAGUAUAUAUAGUUAAUACUUAAUAAGUAUAUCAAAUAAAUUGACGCAGUUUAUAUAAUCUUAAAUUUUCUUUUGCCACAGUUUACAUAUCGACUUUAAAAAAAAGAAAUAUUUUACCGCAGUUUACACAUAGCCUAACCACGUAUAAACUGUCCCCAUUUAUCCGCAGUCUUUACAUUUUGUCCACCAUUAUUUUAUAUAUUCAUUUUACUCGAAUCAGAAUAAAAUGAAUUACUAAAAUACCAAUAAUUAAAUAGCCAUAUUUAUUAAUAGUAGUUAACCACUAUAAACAUUUGAAAUCGAAAUGAAUCAACAAGAAUCAAAUAANAAUUAAUUUAUCCAUACUUUUCUUAGCUGUACAUUUAGGAUUGUAUCUAUGAUCUUCAUUUAAAAUUGAAAGGAUACUAUUUAGAAUUAUGCUGAUAAAAUAUUUCCUUCCUUUGUAAGAAGUACUGACAUUUUUCAAUAUUUAUAAAUCAACUAAACUAACCCUUUUCAGAAUACAAAUUUAUUGAGAAAAAAAAAUUCCAUACUUCAUUAUAAAGAAAUAUAUACUUAUGGCUAUUUUUUGUUCAUUCUAAAAUAAUUUUUUGACUGAAAUCAGUACAAUGUGUUGUUUUUUUAAAUUUAAAAAUCAAUAACAGACAAUGUCAAUUUAAAAUCUUAAAAUUCCUAAAUUAUUUCAAUUUAAAUUAGUUGAAUUAUAGUAAAUAUGAUAAAUAAAAUGUCCUUAAAUCAAAUCAAUCAUUUAUUAAAUAUAAUAAAAAUGUAUUCAUAUUCUUUAGAUGGUUUGUACAUGAGUUGGUAUUUUUAUAUUAGAUUUAUACGAAAAUAUUAUAUAUUAGGAGACAGACAAUUGAGACAAUUUUAAUUUGGUCGCAUGAGUGUUAUUGCUAUAAUUUUUUGAUACAUAAAAUUAUAAUUAUUAUACAAUACUCACUAGUGUUUGAUCAUUUACGUAUUGAAUUCUUGUUUGUUUUCAUCUUAGAUAUCACCUGAGAGUCCUUUUCACUUUUGGUGUCUGUUAUUAUCCAUUAAAAAUUAAAUAAAUAAAUGACUUUUUAUAUACAUAAUACUUAUGAAUCAGUUAAACAAUAAGAGUUAAUAAUUAUUAGCUUUUAUAUAGUAUAUAUUAUAAUACUUAUAUAAAAGUACUAAAAUAUGAGUUAAUAUAUAUAUUAAUAAUAAUUUUGUACGAGAAUAAUGUAAAAACAACAAACCUAUUUGGAGACCAAUUGAGAAAUAUGAUAUAAAAGGUAUUAUACAUGAAAUCCAUUGAUUAAAACAUCACAUCAACACUUGUUGAUAAAAUUUAUCUUUGUUUAAUUGUUUAAUAUUAACGUGUAAGAAUGUUUGAACCAAUGCAUUUGUAAGUAUUACAUACAAAAUUAGAUAUAUGACCUUAAUUUAAAAUGAAAUGAAUAUUUAUACUCAUAAUACCAUAUAAUAGAUGACCUAAUUGAUUAAUUUCACAUAUAAUAUUUUUUUUCAUGUUUGGGUAAUACAAUUUAUAUAAAUAUAGAAAUUAAUAUCAAAUUCUAUUAUUAUAUAGAAUAUUUAUGUAGACAAAUAUCUAAAAACAAUAAUCUAUUUUGUGACCUUUUAGGAAAUAUGGGUACAAUUGUCUUAUAAUCUGAUUAUACUAAUUUAUUAAGACAUCAAUAAAUAGAUCAAUUUUCUAAUACUUUAACUAAUUAAAAUUGAAAUAGUUAAAGUAUACAUUUAAGACUUUCAUAAUAAGUUGACAUAAGGUUUUAUUGAAUUGCAAAUAUUAUAGAAUGAACAUAAAAUAGCUAAUAGUGUAUUUUUCUUUAUAAUGAUAUAUGAUACUAAAUUAUAUUUCUCUAGUAAAUGGAAAUACUAUAACGCGUAAGUUGAUUAAUAAACAUAGAAAAAUAUUUAUACUUUUCAAUAAUACAAGAAAUAUUAUAUCAACAUAAUCCUUAUUUAGAAAUCUGGUAUAAUAUAAACAUAUAAAAAUGAUUGUACCCAUACAUUUUUAACUAAUAAAUAUUAUAUUGGAUCUUUGAUCUUCAUUUCCAAAUUAAUAAAUAAAUGAAGAGCUAUACACAUAAUACUAUACAAGAGAUGUUAUAAUGAAUGUAUUUCAUAUAUAAUAAUUAAAAACCAGUAAAACAAUACUUGUUUAUAAGUAUUAACUAGUAUUAUUAUAUUUACAACCAAUAAUAUGAUUAUACUGAAAAUAUGACAUACUAGACUUAAUUACUUUAAAAAUUUAGUUUGAAUACAUCUCAUUAAACUUGGUUUAAUGAGAUGUAUUCCAGUUACCAAUUUGUAGAUACCAAGUAUAUGGAAAAAGGUUAAUUACAAUGUCCUUAAUUCAUAUUAAUCCAUUUUUAAGAAGUUUGUACUCAUGUUUCUCAAAUGGUCUCCAAUUGAGUUAGUGUUUUUAGAUUAUUUUCCUAUAUAAAUAUUAUAUAUACAUUGAUAAUUUUACGAAUAUUUUUAAACAUAUUUCAGGACACAGACAAUUGAGACAAUUUUAAUUUGGUCGCAUGAGUGUUAUUGCUAUAAUUUUUUGAUACAUAAAAUUAUAAUUAUUAUACAAUACUCACUAGUGUUUGAUCAUUUACGUAUUGAAUUCUUGUUUGUUUUCAUCUUAGAUAUCACCUGAGAGUCCUUUUCACUUUUGGUGUCUGUUAUUAUCCAUUAAAAAUUAAAUAAAUAAAUGACUUUUUAUAUACAUAAUACUUAUGAAUCAGUUAAACAAUAAGAGUUAAUAAUUAUUAGCUUUUAUAUAGUAUAUAUUAUAAUACUUAUAUAAAAGUACUAAAAUAUGAGUUAAUAUAUAUAUUAAUAAUAAUUUUGUACGAGAAUAAUGUAAAAACAACAAACCUAUUUGGAGACCAAUUGAGAAAUAUGAUAUAAAAGGUAUUAUACAUGAAAUCCAUUGAUUAAAACAUCACAUCAACACUUGUUGAUAAAAUUUAUCUUUGUUUAAUUGUUUAAUAUUAACGUGUAAGAAUGUUUGAACCAAUGCAUUUGUAAGUAUUACAUACAAAAUUAGAUAUAUGACCUUAAUUUAAAAUGAAAUGAAUAUUUAUACUCAUAAUACCAUAUAAUAGAUGACCUAAUUGAUUAAUUUCACAUAUAAUAUUUUUUUUUCAUGUUUGGGUAAUACAAUUUAUAUAAAUAUAGAAAUUAAUAUCAAAUUCUAUUAUUAUAUAGAAUAUUUAUGUAGACAAAUAUCUAAAAACAAUAAUCUAUUUUGUGACCUUUUAGGAAAUAUGGGUACAAUUGUCUUAUAAUCUGAUUAUACUAAUUUAUUAAGACAUCAAUAAAUAGAUAAAUUUUCUAAUACUUUAACUAAUUAAAAUUGAAAUAGUUAAAGUAUACAUUUAAGACUUUCAUAAUAUGUUGACAUAAGGUUUUAUUGAAUUGCAAAUAUUAUAGAAUGAACAUAAAAUAGCUAAUAGUGUAUUUUUCUUUAUAAUGAUAUAUGAUAUUAAAUUCUUUUUCNAAAUUUCUAAUACUUUAACUAAUUAAAAUUGAAAUAGUUAAAGUAUACAUUUAAGACUUUCAUAAUAAGUUGACAUAAGGUUUUAUUGAAUUGCAAAUAUUAUAGAAUGAACAUAAAAUACCUAAUAGUGUAUUUUUCUUUAUAAUGAUAUAUGAUACUAAAUUAUAUUUCUCUAGUAAAUGGAAAUACUAUAACGCGUAAGUUGAUUAAUAAACAUAAAAAAAUAUUUAUACUUUUCAAUAAUACAAGAAAUAUUAUAUCAACAUAAUCCUUAUUUAGAAAUCUGGUAUAAUAUAAACAUAUAAAAAUGAUUGUACCCAUACAUUUUUAACUAAUAAAUAUUAUAUUGGAUCUUUGAUCUUCAUUUCCAAAUUAAAAAAUAAAUGGAGAAAUAUACACAUAAUACUAUACAAGAGAUGUUAUAAUUAAUGUAUUUCAUAUAUAAUAAUUAAAAACCAGUAAAACAAUACUUGUUUAUAAGUAUUAACUAGUAUUAUUAUAUUUACAACCAAUAAUAUGAUUAUACUGAAAAUAUGACAUACUAGACUUAAUUACUUUAAAAAUUUAGUUUGAAUACAUCUCAUUAAACUUGGUUUAAUGAGAUGUAUUCCAGUUACCAAUUUGUAGAUACCAAGUAUAUGGAAAAAGGUUAAUUACAAUGUCCUUAAUUCAUAUUAAUCCCUUUUUAAGAAGUUUGUACUCAUGUUUCUCAAAUGGUCUCCAAUUGAGUUAGUGUUUUUAGAUUAUUUUCCUAUAUAAAUAUUAUAUAUACAUUGAUAAUUUUACGAAUAUUUUUAAACAUAUUUCAGGAAUUAUUUUUUAUAGAUACUAAAAGUAUAGAAAACGCUGAUAAAUUGAUUUAACACAUAGAAAUAUACACAUUAAACAAAUUAGGAAAUUAUACAAUUUUAAACAUGUCAAGAAAACAUAUUUAACCGUGUUUAUUCAAUGUUAAUGGCUUAUAAUCUAUAUCUAUCAAUUCAUUUAACCAAAUAUGUAGGUUUUAUAUAUGAAAAUAAUGGCAAAAAACUAAUACAUUUAGAGACAGUAAUUUUUACAAUAAUUUACCUAAUUAAAAUUGAUAUUAUUAAGAUGUAAUUUUGAGAUUUUCAAAGCAAUUUUUUUUAUUGGGAUUUAUAGAUUUGUAAAUAUUGUUUUUCGAUAUUUAUAAUAAUUUUGCAAUUAUAAGAACGUUUAUGUGAUAUUUAAUUACCUAUUAGUAUUAAACUAUAAUUUUAGAGUCCAGAAAUAUUUAUUUAUUGAAAUCAUGUAUUAGAUCAAUGAAUUUAUGGUGAUUGUCUUAAUUUCCUGUAAAAAAUUAGUUUGAAUACAUCAUAAUAAACAUGUUCUGUGUACCAAUAUUUGUAGAUAUUAAUUAUAUAGUUAAUUGCAGAUAAAUUGAUAUGACACAUAAAUAUAUACACAUCAAAAACAAUAAGAAAUUAUGAAAGUAUAAUAAUAUCAUUGAAAACCAAUAUACCUGUGUAGAUAAAUAUUUUUUUGUAUAUAAGGUACAUUUAACCAGUGUUAUUCUCCUAAUAUAUAUAAUAUUUAUUUAUAUGAACAAAUAUAUAUAUAUAUAUAUAUAUAAAUAUGAUAUCUAUAUUUUAUUUGAGAAUAUGAGUACAAUAUUCUUUAAAUAUGAUUACACGAAUUUAGGACAUUAAUACAAAUCAUUUUCACAAUAAUUUAACUAAUAUAUAUUUGAUUUUAAAAAGGCACAAUUUUAGAAUUUUCAUAAUUAAUUGACGAUUAUAAAAUUUGAUAUUACUUUUUUUGUCAUGAAAAUUGUAUUACUUAAAAGCCGAAGUAAGUUCAUAUAUAAAAUAAAUUAAUUUAUCCAUACUUUUCUUAGCUGUACAUUUAGGAUUGUAUCUAUGAUCUUCAUUUAAAAUUGAAAGGAUACUAUUUAGAAUUAUGCUGAUAAAAUAUUUCCUUCCUUUGUAAGAAGUACUGACAUUUUUCAAUAUUUAUAAAUCAACUAAACUAACCCUUUUCAGAAUACAAAUUUAUUGAGAAAAAAAAAUUCCAUACUUCAUUAUAAAGAAAUAUAUACUUAUGGCUAUUUUUUGUUCAUUCUAAAAUAAUUUUUUGAUUGAAAUCAGUACAAUGUGUUGUUUUUUUUAAAUUUAAAAAUCAAUAACAGACAAUGUCAAUUUAAAAUCUUAAAAUUCCCAAAUUAUUUCAAUUUAAAUUAGUUGAANCUUUAAAUAUGAUUACACAAAUUUAGGACAUUAAUACAAAUCAUUUUCACAAUAAUUUAACUAAUAUAUAUUUGAUUUUAAAAAGGCACAAUUU
rnacentral:lncRNA from 1 species